rnacentral:lncRNA from 1 species
GUCAUUUAACGCGCACUGAUGACCAGCAACGCACAGAAGGCGGGGUGACGUCAUUAAGUUCGACAAUCCUCCCCGGAAGUUGUCAGCCAUCAAUUUGCAGCGGAAUCAACGCACGUUUAACAGCAUCUGUGGUCGGCCCCUUUUCAUCACCGGCUCCCAGUAUCACGCAGGGAUGUUCUCCUCCUCCCUAAUGGUAAAUCCACAAUGCAAAGGACAGGACACGGGCUGAGCCGUCAGAGUCAGGGAUCCUGAGACUCCCGAGUGAUUAAUUAAGAAACUGUUGUUGGAAAAGAGAACAGAAUGAGCUCAAAGGUUCUGAAUGGUGUCAGACCAGCUUGGGGUCAUUAACAAUAUGACAGCGAUGAUGCAGGAAAAAAAGGCCCAAAUCCUGGAAUGUUGUGAGUAAUUAAAGCCUGAAUUAACCAUGUCUCUGGAUAUCUGAGUAAUUCCCCUGAAUGGGGCCGUAACAGCACAAUUUUUCAACAACUACCUUCUCUCACAGUUGUCAUAUGUGAAGGUAUGUCUCGCCGUGGCUGUUGCCUCCAGGCACCAGCAGUUUAAACGUUUGGAGGCAGUCGAAACUUGCUUUUCUGGAUUAUCCUUUCUUUUUUUUUUUUCUGG